rnacentral:rRNA from 1 species
UACGUAGGGGGCGAGCGUUGUCCGGAAUUAUUGGGCGUAAAGGGUUCGUAGGCGGUAAUACAUGUCAGAUGUGAAAUCUUGUGGCUUAACCACAUCAAGCAUCUGAAACUGUAUAACUUGAGUGGAGGAGAGGUAAGUGGAAUUCCUAGUGUAGCGGUGAAAUGCGUAGAUAUUAGGAAGAAUACCAGUAGCGAAGGCGACUUACUGGCCUCUAACUGACGCUGAUGAACGAAAGCGUGGGUAGCAAACAGGAUUAGAUACCCCUGUAGU